rnacentral:rRNA from 1 species
GACGAACGCUGGCGGCGUGCUUAACACAUGCAAGUCGAACGGGCCUUGUCCCCUUUUUUUUUGGGGGUGGGGUUAGUGGCGAACGGGUGAGUAACACGUGAGUAACCUGCCCCUCACUUCUGGAUAACCGCUUGAAAGGGUGGCUAAUACGGGGUGUUCUGGCCUGCUCGCAUGGGUGGGUUUGGAAAGAUUCGACCGGUUUGGUUGUUUUGGUGGGGGAUGGGCUCGCGGCCUAUCAGCUUGUUGGUGGGGGGAUGGCCUGCCAAGGCUUUGACGGGUAGCCGGCCUGAGAGGGUGGGCGGUCACACUGGGACUGAGACACGGCCCAGACUCCUACGGGAGGCAGCAGUGGGGAAUAUUGCACAAUGGGCGCAAGCCGGACGCAGCGACGCCGCGUGAGGGAUGGAGGCCUUCGGGUUGUGAACCUCUUUCGCCAGUGAAGAAGGUCCUGCUCUUUGUGGUGGGGUUGACGGUAGCUGGGUUAAUGAAGCGCCGGCUAACUACGUG